GCAACCUUUAAAUUGGAGCGAUACAGAGAAGAUUAGUGUGGCCCCUGUGCAAAGAUGACAUGCAAAUUCGUGAAGCAUUUCAUAUUUUA
rnacentral:snRNA from 1 species